rnacentral:lncRNA from 10 species
UGUUCUUCUGGCAGAUAACCCUACUUAAUCUGAAAGCAUCAGUGAUUUUAUUAUUUCUAAUAAUUAAAUAAUAAGUAAAAGUGACUACCACUCAAUGUGGAAAACUUGGAAAAUACAACCACAAUUUGGAGAAUAAAAUCACCAAAAAGUCUCACAUUCACAAUAUAUCAACUGUUAUUUAUUUUAUGAAUUUGUGUAUGUACCCAUAUAUAUGUAUGUUUGCUGUCAUAUUAUGUAUUUGGCUUGUAACCUACUUUUUAUCAUCUGUAAGUAUUCUCUAAUAUUAUUUAAACUCCUUUGAAAAUAUUUUUAAGCCUAUAUAAAAUUGUCAUAAGAAUGUACCAUAGCCUUUUAAAGAUUUCCCUGAUGUUGGAUGUUUAGAUUGUUUAUAAUUUAUCAGUUAUAAAAGUGCUAUAAUUAUAUUAUUGUUCACAAA